rnacentral:rRNA from 1 species
GACGAACGCUGGCGGCGUGCCUAAUACAUGCAAGUAGAACGCUGAAGGAGGAGCUUGCUUCUCUGGAUGAGUUGCGAACGGGUGAGUAACGCGUAGGUAACCUGCCUGGUAGCGGGGGAUAACUAUUGGAAACGAUAGCUAAUACCGCAUAAGAGUAGAUGUCGCAUGACAUUUGCUUAAAAGGUGCAAUUGCAUCACUACCAGAUGGACCUGCGUUGUAUUAGCUAGUUGGUGAGGUAACGGCUCACCAAGGCAACGAUACAUAGCCGACCUGAGAGGGUGAUCGGCCACACUGGGACUGAGACACGGCCCAGACUCCUACGGGAGGCAGCAGUAGGGAAUCUUCGGCAAUGGACGGAAGUCUGACCGAGCAACGCCGCGUGAGUGAAGAAGGUUUUCGGAUCGUAAAGCUCUGAUGUAAGAGAAGAACGAGUGUGAGAGUGGAAAGUUCACACUGUGACGGUAUCUUACCAGAAAGGGACGGCUAACUACGUG